rnacentral:rRNA from 1 species
ANGCGGCGACGGGUGAGUAACGCGUGGAUGACCUGCCCUUUAGUGGGGAACAACCAGGGGAAACUCUGGCUAAUACCGCAUAAGACCGAAAGGUGAAAGGGGGCCGCAAGGCUCUCGCUGAAGGAGGGGUCCGCGUCCGAUUAGCUAGUUGGUAGGGUAAUGGCCUACCAAGGUGACGAUCGGUAGCCGGCCUGAGAGGGUGAUCGGCCACACUGGAACUGAGACACGGUCCAGACUCCUACGGGAGGCAGCAGUGGGGAAUUUUGCGCAAUGGGCAAACGCCUGACGCANCAACGCCGCGUGGAGGAUGAAGGUCUUUGGAUUGUAAACUCCUGUCAGCGGGGAAAAAGGGACCUGGGCUAAUACCCUAGGGACUUGAUUGUACCCGCAGAAGAAGCCCCCGGCUAACUCUGUGCCAGCAGCCGCGGUAAUACAGAGGGGGCAAGCGUUAUUCGGAAUUAUUGGGCGUAAAAGGGCGCGUAGGCGGCUUUGCAGUGGCGGUGAAAUCCCUCGGCUUUACCGAAGAACUGCCUGCCAAACUGNGAGNCUUGAAACCGGGAAAGGGAGUGGAAUUCCAG